rnacentral:misc_RNA from 1 species
UGCAUGAGUGGUGUUUGGUUUGAUACGGGUGGUCGGCUCCCUGCUUGAGCAGGCACGGCCACGCGUGCAUUCCUUUUCAGUUGUCCGGCAAGGCUUGUAUUGUCUUGAUCGUAUAAGUGGGUUUCUUGUGUUGCAUACCUGAUCAAUGGCAUCGUUUUGAUCAAAAGUGUAUCUUUUUCGUCURGCAAUGCACCCGCAUUGUCGGAUGAACCGAGCAGCAUCCUCUUUGAUCCAUAAAGUUGACGUGUAUUCGUUGAUUGUUUGGCCCGUUGAGGAUGGCUUGGUCUCUUGGAUAUGGAAGCCAAAGUGGGCAUGGGUUCGUAAGAUCCUUUUACUGCCCUCAUUGAGCGUUCUCGCUUCUCUUACACGACUGCCUUUCACGUAUGGCACGUCCCAGCGUGUUUGGCUACGUCGAAGAGGAAUGCUAC